CAUCGUGCAGAGGUUUGAGUGUCUAAUUUUUAACCAUUCGCAUUCAACCUUUGGACGGUAGA
rnacentral:pre_miRNA from 1 species